rnacentral:rRNA from 1 species
CUUUACUAUAGCGUGUCAUUGAAAUUAGUUUUGCAUUGUUUAGAAUAGGAGGGAGACUUUGAAAGUUCGGCGCUAGCCGAACUGGAGUCGCAAUAUGAAAUACCACUCUGUGUAGAAUUGAUUUCUAACGAGACCUUAACCUAGUCUCGGACAGUGGCUCGUGGGUAGUUUAACUGGGGCGGUUGCCUCCUAAAUGGUAACGGAGGCGUUUAUUAAGGUAUGCUAGACGCGGAUGGAAAUCGCGUUGAUAGUGCAAACGCAUAAGCAUGCUUGACUGCAAGAGUGGCGACUCGCGCAGGGGCGAAAGUCGAAGUUAGUGAUCCGAUGCGUUCGAGUGGAAGACGCAAAGCCCAACGGAUAAAAGUUA